GAUGAACGCUGGCGGCGUGCUUAACACAUGCAAGUCGAACGAUGAAGCCCAGCUUGCUGGGUGGAUUAGUGGCGAACGGGUGAGUAACGCGUGAAUAACCUGCCGUUGACUCUGGGUUACGCCUGGGAAACUGGGUCUAAUACUGGAUAUGACUUCUCAUCGCAUGGUGGGGGGUGGAGAGCUUUAUUUGUCUUAGAUGGACUCGCGGCCUAUCAGCUUUUUGGUGAGGUAAUGGCACACCAAGGCAACGCCGGGUAGCCGGCCUGAGAGGGUGAACAGCCACCAUGGGACUGCGAGAGGGACCAGACGGGAACGGGAGGCAGCAGUGGGGAAUAUUGCACAAUGGGCGCAAGCCUGAUACAGCGACGCCGCGUGAGGGAUGACGGCCUUCGGGUUGUAAACCUCUUUCAGUAGGGAAGAAGCGAGAGUGACGGUACCUGCAGAAGAAGCGCCGGCUAACUACGUG
rnacentral:rRNA from 1 species